rnacentral:rRNA from 1 species
UACGUAGGUGGCGAGCGUUACUCGGAGUCACUGGGCGUAAAGCGUGUGUAGGCGGUCCCGCAAGUCCGGAGUGAAAUCUUCCGGCUUAACCGGAAAAACGCCCGGAAACUGCGGGGCUCGAGGGCGGGAGAGGAGGGGGGAAUUCCCGGUGUAGCGGUGAAAUGCGUAGAUAUCGGGAGGAAUACCGGUGGCGAAGGCGCCCCUCUGGACGGAAACUGACGCUGAGGCGCGAAAGCGUGGGGAGCAAACAGG